rnacentral:miRNA from 1 species
AUACUCCAACCAAUCAUCAUUCUA